AGUCGACAUCUUCCAGAGUUGAAUCCAUCUUCAGUUUUCACGUAACACAGAUACAGACCAGAGUCUUCAGUCCUCAGUCUGGACACAUGGAGUCUGAUUCGUCCUUCUCUGAGGACGUCUUUGUCAAUCUGGACUCGUCCUGAAAACUGUUCAUCCUGAGACUCUGGAAUCUCAACACCUUCAUGGACCUGAUAGAGAACCAAUUCUUUAUGAGGAGCCAACAAGCUGCAGUAGAUGAACAGAUUCUUCCAGGAUCCCUGAGUCUUGGUGGUGAAGGUCCACUCCAGAGUGAUGCUGUGGUUCUCCUCUGCCUGAUAGCUGCUCUGUGUCACAUUCACUACAAAUGUUGCUGCUGAGGAGACAGAGAGGGAAAG